CGCGGAGAUGCAGAUUUUUGC
rnacentral:piRNA from 1 species